UAAGAAACUUCCCCUGGCAUCUUUUUAUUGAGUCAACUGCUGCCACUGUGCCUACCCAGCAAUCCCCGUGUUCCGGGAAGAUGGAACUAUACAGAAAGCAGCUACAAGCAAAGGGAGGUGGGCAAGGUGAGGGAAGCAGUGUAUUUCACAGGCAUUCCCAAACCAUCUCAUCUCUGAGCUGGACUGGACCUUUUGGGAGAGAAGUUUGACCUUUGGAAGAGAAGAUGAAGAGAGUCAGGCUUCUGAAAGAAUCAGCGUUUUAGGGAAGUACCCUGACCACGAUUUCAGAAGUGCUGCCUGCAGACCUCCUUCCACCUUUGGCCCGCAACUGUAGGGUGCAUUUUAGGUCUCAAAGUUCUCUGGAAUCGCAUUGCUUGGUUCUGGCUCCAUCUCCACCUGUCACUCGCUGCAAUCUUGGACAAAUUCCUUAACCUCUCUGGGUCGUCCAUCAUAACAACCUUGCAAGGUUGGUAUGUAUUACAGGGAAUAAAUCAUGGAAAGUGCUGGCACAUGGUCAGCACUCGACUGAUGUUAGCUGUUACUGUAUGUGUUAGAUCACCUGGUGGUUAUAAGAGCCCAUUUUAUAGAUGAAAUUGGAGCCUUGGAGGGAGGUGUAGCAACAAAGUCAUUUGGACAGCGAUUUACAGAGCUAGAACAGGAACCCAGGUCUGCCUUCUCCUGCAAAGCAUUCUCUACCUCGGUGGACUCUGGUAUCCAGGUGGAGGGCUACCAGCAAGCGGAGAGGGACCACGGACGUGUGAGUGUGUGUGUUUGCAAUAAUGACGGGAAACUUUGCAUUACACUUUGUAUGGGGGGCAAGUUAGUGGUUAACUUCUA